rnacentral:rRNA from 1 species
UACGUAGGUGACCAGCGUUGUCCGGAUUUACUGGGCGUAAAGAGCGCGCAGGCGGUCGUUCAAGUCGAGUGUGAAAGCCCCCGGCUCAACUGGGGAGGGUCAUUCGAUACUGAUCGACUUGAAGGCAGGAGAGGGAAGUGGAAUUCCCGGUGCAGUGGUGAAAUGCGUAGAUAUCGGGAGGAACACCAGUGGCGAAGGCGACUUCCUGGCCUGUUCUUGACGCUGAGGAGCGAAGCUAGGGGAGCAAACGGG